GACAGAGGGUGCAAACGUUGCUCGGAAUUACUGGGCGUAAAGAGCGCGCAGGCGGUCGAUCAAGUCGAGUGUGAAAGCCCCCGGCUCAACUGGGGAGGGUCAUUCGAUACUGAUCGACUCGAAGGCAGGAGAGGGUAGUGGAAUUCCCGGUGUAGUGGUGAAAUGCGUAGAUAUCGGGAGGAACACCAGUGGCGAAGGCGACUACCUGGCCUGUUCUUGACGCUGAGGCGCGAAAGCUAGGGGAGCAAACGGG
rnacentral:rRNA from 1 species